rnacentral:sRNA from 2 species
GGGAAUCAAAUGCGACAGCUCCAGCUCUACCCCCUUGUUACAAGGGUGAAGUUCGUUAGCAGCGUUCAGCUGCAAGGGUUCGAGUAGCUGACUGGAGGGAGUUGGGGCACGGCUCACCAUGUGGUAGCUAGCUAGCUACAUAGCGGCUCAGUCGUUGCGUGUCCAAGCUGUAGAACAACUUCCCAAGCGUGAUGCAAAGUGGAAACCCCGCCGAGAGUUCUCAUUUCAUUUCACCAGAGAGCAUAGAGCGCUGGAUAGGAGAUCCGCCCCCUUAUGGUGUAUGGGUUGGGAACAUGAGCUUAACAGAUACAAAAGGGUGAAAAUUCACUCACCCAAAUGCCGAAAUCAGGGGAUAGCGAAGGGAUUUUAUAAAUAAAUGUAUAUAAUAGUUAGCACAGAGUACGAGCAUAAGCAUACAAGAAAAAAGUGAUUAGCGCGCCUGCUCCACCGAAAAAAAGGCCUUCUUAAGACGCCAUCCAUCGCAAGAGAAAGUAACAAACUAAAGUCAUCCACCCAGCCAGCCAGACUCCAUAUGUGAAGAAAAGAAAGAGAAUCUCUGUUUGAGCGAUCCAGACGGACAGAGAAGAAAAAGAAGAAGAAAUAGAAAGAAAAAAAUCCCCGCAAGUCUCUCAUUCUGAUUUGAUUCCCUUUUCCUCUCUUGGAACAUCCGACUUAUCAUCCGAACCAACUUUAUUAUCCCAAGCCGAAAAAGCCCAGUGAUGAUAGUCAUUACUAUACGAAAACGCCAUAUUCAUUUUCACCGGCCAUUUAUUUUUCUUUUUCGUCAUGGAUUCCACGAAUAAUUUAAUUUCAACGGUGCUCUUAGCCCAUCCUCCCUUUCGCUUCUCCACCGACUCUUCCACUCCCACUCCCGGACGGCUGCUUCGCGGUAGGCAAUCUGGCAUUCACGUGGCAGCUCUGCAAGCACCUCGGGACUGGUGUGGAAGAGAGGAGUGUUCCUGCCAAGCGAUAUACUAAUUAACCCAUUCGAACCUAUAUCUCGUACAUCCCCAUCUGGGCCGGGAAGACCCAACGAGGACUCUGGUGGCGUUUCAUAGUAUAUGUCUUGGAUUUCAAAGUUGCGGCUGAAGAUAGCAGGUACGGAAGGGAAUAUUGUGGAUGAGGUUUUGGUGGAUUUGUCCGUUUCAACUUGGCUGGGAAGGUCAUUGGACGUUCGCUCCUUCACAUCAUCAACUGAGCUUGCUGGUGUCCCAUCCGUGACGCCAAGGGCAGCUGUUGAAGCGCUGCUGAUGAGCUGUGAUCUAUCUGCCCGUGUUGAUUCUGGCGGUGGGAUAAUUUCCCAUCGAACGUGGGUGGAUUGCAUGAUCCUAGGAUAUUGCAUGAUGUUUGUGUGGAUGUCGUAGUGGCCAUCAAGAUUUUCGCGGCGAGCUGCGAGGAGUGUAGAAUUGAACCGACUGUAGAUUAUUGAUUAGAAUUCGAUAUUGAUAAAAAAAUAUAUGUAAAACGAAGCGGACGAAGGCCGAGCCAUGGCAAUUUACCUUGCUUCCCUGGCAUGCUCAAUCAUCCAGUUAUCCCCCGUUACAAUCACCUUCCGUUUCUUGGGAUCUACAGUUUUUCCCAUUGGCAUGGGUACUG